CUUCAAUGACUUCGUUUUCUCUGUUUUUUUUUUCUCAUCGGCUCUCUUCUCCGUUUCAACCUCUGAAUCUCUUCUUCUGUUUUCUAUGGUUUCUGCAUCAUCCUUCAUCCUCUGAAAACAAAUGCUUCAACAAAUUGUGAAAUUUUCAUUGCUUCUCUUACAUACACUUYCUGCUUUCUUCAACGUCUUCGUUUUCUCUGUUUCUCACCAGUUCUCUACUUCGUUUCAACAUCUGAAUCUCUAUCUUCUGUUGUUAGGGUUUCUAGGGUUUUUGUAUCAGGAUUUGAUGCAAUUUAUGAAAUACAUCGUGAACUGACCGAAGUUACAACACCAUUGUGGUUCUUCUGAGGUUAGUCUGUUUUCUUUCGUCGUUUCCCCCAAGGUAUAAGCUAAUUUUAUCUUCCAUUUUCAGAUUAUUUUUUUUUAACAAUUAGGGUUUAUUGUUUUACAUACCGAUGAAAGGUGCACAGGAUCGUCGAAUGUCUCUGAACGGAUUUUGAAUUGAAGUAGGAGAAUAUUGAUAGAAUUUCACUCUCUUUUCGUUCGCCAGAAUUUCUCGAGCUAAGCCUGUGUGUUUCGCGGUCCCUACUUCCCGUAACUGAUUUUGAAACCUGUACAAGUUUUGUAACGAUUUUCCAUUUAGAGAGAGAAAAAUGCAUUUUUUUCUGCAUUGUCAUAAUAGGACCAUUAAAAUUUGUGAAGUAAUUUCAAUCCUUCGUUUGUUUGGAGAUCUUCUUACUUCGUAUAUCAGUACAAAUUUGGGUUUGAAAAAGCUACCACAGCUCAUACUUUAGGUAAUGCUCAAGUUUCCCCUUCAUACAUUUUACGUUACACCAAGUCAUUAAGGUUGGGUCCUCAAUUCUUCUUCUUCUUCUUCUUCUUCUUCUUCUUGUAAAAUUUAAAUAAUAAUAUCUAUGUAACUUCAAUCUACAUGCCAUAAGUCCAGAUGUAGUCGCUAAGUUGUUGGUUGGAUGAAUUAAUUUUCAGUGGUUGACUUGAAGAGGCUUGAAAUGCAAGCAAGAGAUGGACCAUCAGAUCCAAAUACUCUGGCCAAAUGGAGCAUUCUAAAUAGAUUUCAUGAUAGAAAUGAUAGAAUUUUGAUGAACUUAAUUGCAGGUGCUUCUAGUCAUGAACUCAUGAUCAAUGUUUGGAAGCAAUAAUGAAAACCUGCCGAAGGACCCCUUAUAACACCGAUUGGACGGUGAUGAAUAUUUGGCCAUUGCUGAUGAAUUCAUGGAGGUUGUAUUUACUCGUUGGCCACAUAUAUUUAGGAUUGCAUGAACACCGAUUGGAUAGUGAUGAAUAUUUUUCCACUAUUGAUCAAUUCAUGGAGGUUGUGUUUGCUAGUUGGCCAAGUGUUAUUGUUCUACUCUGGUCAAAUAAUUGGAUUUUCUCCUUCUAUUAUUUUAUAUUAUACUCUAUAAAUUAUGCAAUAAUUAUUUAACCAUUGUUCAACAUAUUUGAAGAUUUCCCAAACAAAUGGGCGUACAAAGGGCUUGUUUGUGGUCUGUGCACAUAUCAUUCUUUUCUAGUUAAUACAGUUACAGAAUGCUCAUAUACAUGUGAUGUAAAACAGAGACAACAUAUUCCAAAAUUAUGAGGAACUGGAAAAGAUUGCUGGUCCGUUUGCAAGGAAUAUCAAGGAUUCAGGGAAGGUGAAAGUCUAGUGGAAAUGGUGCAACAAGUGAAGCCUUAUUAUAUGCUUCUUGGACUGUAUGCAGUUGGUGGAUUGUUCACAUAGCUGGUAUUAAGCAUGGUUCUUGAUACAAAUAUAUUCUUUGGUUAUAUCGGAAGAUGAGAUAGAACGGAAAAACUGGGGUAAAUUGGACAAUUUACACAUUUCGUUUUAGAAAUUAUUUUUAGCUGGUCUAAUGGCCGGACUGGAUGGGACUUUUAAGGAAAUUUUAUUUUGUUUUUGUUUGGGAAGCCGUCCCUUGUAACUGAUGGGCCUCGGCCCACUUCCUUCCUAAAUUGAAAGCCUAUAUAGAAGGUAAUCUAGGGCAAAGAUUGUAAUCCUGAUCCGAAUUUGAUGUAUAAUUUGAUGAAAUUAAAAAUUUAUAAUAAACAUUGAUAUACAUCACCAAUUUUAUUGGAA